rnacentral:misc_RNA from 1 species
GAAAUGCGAUAAGUAAUGUGAAUUGCAGAAUUCAGUGAAUCAUCGAAUCUUUGAACGCACAUUGCGCCCGCCAGUAUUCUGGCGGGCAUGCCUGUUCGAGCGUCAUUUCAACCAUCAAGCCCCCGGCUUGUGUUGGGGACCUGCGGCUGCCCGCAGGCCCUGAAAAACAGUGGCGGGCUCGCUGUCACACCGAGAGUAGUAGCAUACAUUCUCGCUCAGGGCGUGCUGCGGGUUCCGGCCGUUAAACGACCUUCAUAACCCAAGGUUGACCUCGGAUCAGGUAGGAAGACCCGCUGAACUUAAGC